rnacentral:rRNA from 1 species
UACAGAGGUCUCAAGCGUUGUUCGGAAUCACUGGGCGUAAAGGGUGCGUAGGCGGCGGGGAAAGUCAGAUGUGAAAUCCGGAGGCUCAACCUCCGAAAUGCAUCCGAUACUCCCUCGCUAGAGAUUUGUAGAGGAGUCUGGAAUUCUCGGUGUAGCAGUGAAAUGCGUAGAUAUCGAGAGGAACACCGGUGGCGAAGGCGGCUAUCUGGACAGUGACUGACGCUGAGACGCGAAAGCGUGGGGAGCAAACAGG